UCGAGGAUCUUCGUCAAUGGGCGAAAGCCUGAACGAGCGACGCCGCGUGCGGGAUGAAGGCCCUUGGGUUGUAAACCGCUGUCAGGGGGGAUGAAACCGAAAGGUUGACAGAGCCCCAGAGGAAGCACGGGCUAAGUUCGUGCCAGCAGCCGCGGUAAUACGAACUGUGCGAACGUUACUCGGAAUCACUGGGCUUACAGGGUGCGUAGGUGGCUUGUUAAGCAGGGUGUGAAAUCCCUCGGCUCAACCGAGGAACUGCGCUCUGAACUGGCGAGCUGGAGUAUGCUAGAGGUGAAUGGAACAUCCAGUGGAGCGGUGAAAUGUGUUGAUAUUGGAUGGAACACCAGAGGCGAAGGCGAUUCACUGGGGCAUAACUGACACUGAGGCACGAAAGCCAGGGGAGCAAACG
rnacentral:rRNA from 1 species